rnacentral:rRNA from 1 species
UGAGGAAUAUUGGGUCAAUGGACGUAAGUCUGAACCAGCCAAGUAGCGUGCAGGAUGACGGCCCUAUGGGUUGUAAACUGCUUUUAUGCGGGGAUAAAGUGAGGGACGCGUCCCUUUUUGCAGGUACCGCAUGAAUAAGGACCGGCUAAUUCCGUGCCAGCAGCCGCGGUAAUACGGAAGGUCCGGGCGUUAUCCGGAUUUAUUGGGUUUAAAGGGAGCGUAGGCCGGCUUUUAAGCGUGUUGUGAAAUGCCGCGGCUCAACCGUGGCACUGCAGCGCGAACUGGAGGCCUUGAGUGCGCGGGGAGGUGCCGGAAUUCAUGGUGUAGCGGUGAAAUGCUUAGAUAUCAUGAAGAACUCCGAUCGCGAAGGCAAGUGCCUGGAGUGCUACUGACGCUGAGGCUCGAAAGU